rnacentral:rRNA from 1 species
UACAGAGGUCCCGAGCGUUGUUCGGAUUCAUUGGGCGUAAAGGGUGCGUAGGCGGCGGGGCAAGUCUGAUGUGAAAUCCUGGGGCUCAACCCUGGAACUGCAUUGGAUACUGCCUUGCUAGAGUACUGGAGAGGAAACUGGAAUUUACGGUGUAGCAGUGAAAUGCGUAGAGAUCGAGAGGAACACCUGCGGCGAAGGCGGGUAGCUGGGCCGACACUGACGCUGAGGCGCGAAAGCCAGGGGAGCGAACGGG